CCCGAGCCUGCCGGGGCCGCGCAAGCGGAUAAGGGCGGGACACGGAUUAGUCGGGCAGUGCCGUGAUUCAGAAAAACCCCGACUGCC
rnacentral:ncRNA from 1 species